rnacentral:rRNA from 1 species
CGGGGGGGGGGGCAAGCGUUGUUCGGGAAUUACUGGGCGUAAAGGGGCGCGCAGGCGGGCGGGGGGGAAAGUCUCUCGUGAAAGCCCACGGGCUCAACCGUGGAAUUGCGGGAGAUACUACUCGUCUUGAGUCCCGGGAGAGGAGUGUGGAAUUCCCAGUGUAGCGGUGAAAUGCGUAGAUAUUGGGAGGAACACCGGUGGCGAAGGCGGCACUCUGGACCGGUACUGACGCUGAGGCGCGAAAGCUAGGGGAGCAAACGGGAUUAGAUACCCCGGUAGUCCUGGCUGUAAACGCUGAGCACUUGGUGUAGCGGGUAUCGACCCCUGCUGUGCCGAAGCUAACGCAUUAAGUGCUCCGCCUGGGGAGUACGGUCGCAAAGGCUG